UACAGAGGUCUCGAGCGUUAGGCGGAAUCACUGGGCUUAAAGCGUGUGUAGGUGGAUCGUUAAGUACCUUGUGAAAUCCCACGGCUUAACCGUGGAACUGCUUGGUAUACUGGCGGUCUUGAGCCACUUAGGGGCUACCGGAACAAAUGGUGGAGCGGUGAAAUGCGCAGAUAUCAGGAGGAACACCAGUGGCGAAGGCGGUGGUCUGGGCCGAUACUGACGCUGUAGAGCGAAAGCGUGGGGAGCGAACAGG
rnacentral:rRNA from 1 species